rnacentral:misc_RNA from 1 species
GUAGGUGAACCUGCGGAGGGAUCAUUAACGAAAAAGAGUUGCGAGACUCGAAAACCAUCGCGAAAGUCACCCCCCUUCGUCGUUGCUUCGGCGGGCGGCCCACCCCGGAAAACACCGGGGAGAGGCCGCGGCCCGCGAGGGCGGCCGCCGGAGGCACGCAACCAGAACUUUGUUUUCUUUAGCGCCUCUCUGAGUGGAUACAAGCAAAAUUAAGUCAAAACUUUCAACAACGGAUCUCUUGGUUCUG